AUGUCACGCCUUCAGGUCCGCUCUUUCUCCAACUCUGUUUCUUCACACGCCAACGAGCUGCUGGACAAACUCCAAGGCCAUCUGCACUCCAGGACGCUCAGGCCAGACCUCGUGCACCAACUGUUCGACGAAAUGCUGCGCCAACCAGUCCCAGUAUCAGUACGUGCACUCAACGGCUUAUUUGCUGCCCUUGCGCGUGCGCCGUCCUCCACCAUCUGCACCGAUGCCCCUGCCCUCGCCAUUGAUCUCUUCAACCGCAUGGCCCGAGCAGGCCGUCGCCAGGUGCCAGCACCCACCAUUCACACCUACAGCAUACUAAUUGAGUGUUGCCAGCGAGCAUGCCGCCCAGACCUAGGGCUUGCCUUCUUCGGCCGCCUACUCAAGACAGGCAUCAAGACGAAUGCCAUUACCUACAGCAGCUUACUCAAGUGCCUCUGUGACAUGAAGCGCACGGAGGAGGCUUUGGGCGUGCUGCUCCACAGGAUGCCCGACGACCUGCCUAAUGCCAUCUCCUACUCAGUAAUUCUCAAGAGUUUCUGCGACAGUGGUAGGAGCCAGCUUGUGCUUGACUUGCUCCGGAUGAUGGCCGAAAAAGGAUCUGACCACUCUCCCAGCGUGGUGUCAUACAGCUUGGUAAUCGAUGGCUUCUUUAAGGAGGGUGAAAUAAGCAAAGCAUGCAAUCUGCUCCAUGAAAUGAUGCAGCAGGGGGUUGUGCCCGAUGUGGUGACGUAUAACUCCUUUAUCGAUGCGCUAUGCAAAGCAAGAGCAAUGGAAAAGGCAGAGGUAGUUCUUCGAUCAAUGGUUCAUAAUGGUGUCCAACCAAAUGCUGUCACAUAUAGUAGCUUGAUCCAAGGAUAUUCAACUUUGGGCCAGUUGAAAGAAGUCGCUAGGCUGUUGAAAGCAAUGAGAAGCCAAGGCAGUAUGCCAGGCGUUGUUAUUUGCAGCUCAGUCAUGGACUACCUUUGCAAGCAUGGAAGAAUCAAAGAUGCCGAGGAAAUAUUUUACUCCAUGGCCGUGAAUGGCCGAAAACCAGAUAUAGUCUCAUACACUAUUAUGCUCCACGGGUACGCUAUAGAAGGAUCCCUUGUUAAAAUGAUUGAUCUCUGUGAGCUGAUGGCAAGAGAUGGAGUUGUACCCGACCUCCGUUGUUUCAACAUACUGAUUAAUGCAUAUGCUAAGUAUGGCAUGAUGGAUGUGGCCAUGCUUUUCCUUGAAGACAUGUUGAAGCAGGGUGUGAAGCCUAAUGAAUUCACUUAUUUAACUGUGAUAUCUGCAUUUUGCAAGAUGGGCAGGAUGGAUGAUGCGAUGGAAAAAUUCAGUGAGAUGAUUGAUAUGGGAGUACCAGUUGACACCGAAGUUUACAUGUGCAUGGUUGAGGGUUAUUUUAAUCAUGGUGAUUCCAUGAAAGCCGAGAAAUUUAUUACCAAAAUGAAGAACAGGGAUAUUCAUCAUAAGCUGCGGAAAGGUAAUUGA
rnacentral:rRNA from 1 species